rnacentral:misc_RNA from 1 species
GAUGAAGAACGUAGCGAAAUGCGAUAAGUAAUGUGAAUUGCAGAAUUCAGUGAAUCAUCGAAUCUUUGAACGCACAUUGCGCCCCUUGGUAUUCCGGGGGGCAUGCCUGUUCGAGCGUCAUUAUAACCCCUCAAGCUCAGCUUGGUGUUGGGGCCUGCCGACUGGCAGCCCUUAAAAUCAGUGGCGGCGCCAUCUGGCUCUAAGCGUAGUAAUUUCUCUCGCUAUAGAGUCCCGGUGGAUGCUUGCCAGCAACCCCCAACUUUCUAUGGUUGACCUCGGAUCAGGUAGGGAUACCCGCUGAACUUAAGCAUAUCAAUAAGGAGGA